ACUUAAAAGGUCGAGUUUUUAGUUCUCUUCGUCAAAUAGAAGAAAGAAAACCCUAACCCCCCAAAAUUCCAUCAAAAUCUCGAAAUUAGGGUUUUGGUUCAUCCAAAAUCCAUUGCUUAACACUUUCUUUGUUGAAUCAUGGAUGCUCAGAGGGCUUUGCUCGAUGAGUUGAUGGGAGCAGCUCGUAAUCUUACUGAAGAGGAGAAGAAGGGAUACAAGGAAAUCUCUUGGGAUGAUAAGGAGGUUUGCGGAUCUUAUAUGAUUCGAUUUUGUCCACAUGAUCUUUUUGUCAAUACUCGUAGUGAUCUUGGACCAUGCCCUAGAAUUCAUGAUCCAAAACUCAAAGAAAGCUUUGAGAAGUCUCCCAGGCAUGACUCUUUUGUGCCAAGAUUUGAAGCUGAACUUGGCCAGUUUUGUGAGAAAUUGGUAAUGGACUUGGACAGAAAAGUUAGACGCGGCAGGGAGCGCCUAGCCCAGGAAGUUGAAGUUCCACCAGCUGCUCCAGUCUCUAUGGAGAAAUCUGAGCAGCUAUCAUUGCUGGAGGAGAAGAUAAAGAAGCUUCUUGAGCAAGUGGAGACCCUUGGUGAAGCUGGCAAGGUGGAUGAAGCUGAGGCACUCAUGAGGAAGGUGGAUUUGCUAAAUGUCGAGAAGACAUCCUUGACGCAACUGCCACAGAAUGAUAAGCUCUUGAUUACGCAGGAGAAGAAGAUGGCAUUGUGUGAGAUAUGUGGUUCUUUUCUUGUAGCAAAUGAUGCGGCAGAAAGGACACAGUCACAUGUGACCGGCAAGCAGCACAUUGGUUAUGGCAUGGUCCGAGAUUUCAUUAGCGAGUACAAGGAGGCCAAGGAGAAAGCAAGGGAAGAAGAAAGACUAGCUAGGGAGAAAGAAGCUGAUGAAAGGCGAAAGCAGAGGGAGAAGGAAAUUGAGAAUGGAAGUAAACGAAGCAACUCCCGUGAGAGUGAUAGGUAUCAUGACCGUGAACGAGAUCGAGGGCGAGAUAGACACCGUGAACGAGACUGUGACAGGGAAAGGUCAACAGAAUGGAGUGGCAGAGGUAGUAGGGAUGGAGGAAGAGGGAGAGACUGGAAUUAUAACAACCGGAGAAAUGGAAGAGAUGCAGACAGGGGUCGGUACAAUGACAGAAAUGGAAAAAGGGAUAUCUCUCGUGAGAGGGGUUGGGACAGAAGCAGGUCCCGCUCUCCUGUUAGGCAUGGUCACUAGAGGUCAUCAAGGAGCUUAGUCGGGCCUAUAUUGAGGUCGGACUUUGUAAUUAGAUGACCAAGUUUGAACCUAAAAGAGGUAUGAGUUGAGCUAAAUAGUUUUGCAUGGGUUCUUUAUGGGCAUACUUGUUGUGGAGCACUUAUCUUGCCCAGUGUUGGUAACAAAUGUCCCGAGUAACUAGACAGCAGGUGGUAGACUAUGGUGCGUCAAUAAGGCUGCUGCAGAGGGAGAUGUUGGUUAUUUCAAACUUUAGCAAGGUAACCCAUAAAUCUUGGCUUGUACACUGUUCGGAUUCACAUAGUGGGAAUUUUGCACUUAUCUAGCUGCAGUUUGAUGUACUUCCAAAUUUACUCCUGCUUGGUGGCAGUUGUCAAUUUGCUACUCCAAACGAAACACUUGGAAAUGCGUAUCCCCACCCUACCCACACCCACACCUGACUGCGAGAUGGUAGAUAGACAUUGCUGCUGAUUACUGUGUUUUAUUUUAUUUUUUGAAGCGCGCUGAAUACUUAUUAUAUAAGCAAUGUCAUGCAGAACUUGUGGAGCUAUGAGUUAGACCUCUGUUUUCAAUGGUGUUUGUUUUGCAGUUUAACAUGUCAGUUGUCUUCUUCGA